AGGAUCAUUCGCAAUGGGCGCAAGCCUGACGAUGCGACGCUGCGUGGAGGAUGAAGGGCUUCGGCUCGUAAACUCCUGUCAUGGGGGAAAAAGGUCCCCAUUGUCAACAACGAUGGGGCUUGAUGGUACUCCAAGAGGAAGCCACGGCUAACUCUGUGCCAGCAGCCGCGGUAAUACAGAGGUGGCGAGCGUUGUUCGGAUUUACUGGGCGUAAAGGGCGCGCGGGCGGCUUCGUGUGUCGGUUGUGAAAUCUCAGGGCUCAACCCUGAAAGUGCGGCCGAAACUGCGGAGCUUGAGCAAGGGAGAGGAAAGCGGAACUCAUGGUGUAGCGGUGUAAUGCGUUGAUAUCAUGAAGAACACCGGUGGCGAAGGCGGCUUUCUGGAACUUGGCUGACGCUUAGGCGCGAAAGUAGGGGGAGCAAACA
rnacentral:rRNA from 1 species